GACGAACGCUGGCGGCGUGCUUAACACAUGCAAGUCGAACGGAAAGGCCCUGCUUUUGUGGGGUGCUCGAGUGGCGAACGGGUGAGUAACACGUGAGUAACCUGCCCUUGACUUUGGGAUAACUUCAGGAAACCGGGGCUAAUACCGGAUAGGAGCUCCUGCUGCAUGGUGGGGGUUGGAAAGUUUCGGCGGCUGGGGAUGGACUCGCGGCUUAUCAGCUUGUUGGUGGGGUAGUGGCUUACCAAGGCUUUGACGGGUAGCCGGCCUGAGAGGGUGACCGGCCACAUUGGGCCUGAGCUGCGGCACAGACUCCUACGGGAGGCAGCAGUGGGGAAUGUUGCACAAUGGGCGGAAGCCUGAUGCAGCAACGCCGCGUGCGGGAUGACGGCCUUCGGGUUGUAAACCGCUUUCGCCUGUGACGAAGCGUGAGUGACGGUAAUGGGUAAAGAAGCACCGGCUAACUACGUG
rnacentral:rRNA from 1 species